UGUCCUAGUGAGGUAUAUGAAAAAUAGUCGGCACUCACUCUGUUUGCACGUUGCACGGGAUAGGAAUGAAAUCCACGUAUAUUCAAGGAAGAAUCCCAGCAGUCGUGUCUUCAAUCAAUAGGAUAUUUAUUUCAUCAAAUUAGAAAUGUCCACAGUCCUGGACGCGUU